UACGGAGGGGGCUAGCGUUGUUCGGAAUUACUGGGCGUAAAGCGCACGUAGGCGGCUUUGUAAGUUAGAGGUGAAAGCCCAGGGCUUAACCCUGGAAUUGCCUUUAAGACUGCAUCGCUAGAAUCGUGGAGAGGUGAGUGGAAUUCCGAGUGUAGAGGUGAAAUUCGUAGAUAUUCGGAAGAACACCAGUGGCGAAGGCGACUCACUGGACACGUAUCGACGCUGAGGUGCGAAAGCGUGGGGAGCAAACAGG
rnacentral:rRNA from 1 species